GGUUCCCAGCUUUAUCACUGAGUCGGAGCCCACGUAAUGUCUUUUAUCUCCGACGACGCAAUAUCAGAGUGUGUAUAGAAACCUAGUUGCAGCGGAAAUCGUGCGGGCAAGCUACAAGAAAAUUUCUGCUCAAGCACGAGAAUUGAUUUGCUGUUUCGAAGUCACUGUAAACUAAUAGUAUGUCUACAGCACUAACACCUUCUAAGAGGCCACAUGAACGGAACGCUGCAGAGACAAAUGGAAAAGGAAAGUGGCAAAAGACAGCAGGACUUAAUUCCCCCAACCAACCAGGGAAAUUCUCUUCUGGUGGCGUUGUUUUCCGAAUACUCUGUCCCGCUUCCAAAACUGGCAGUGUUAUUGGGAAAGGUGGUUCCAUCAUAUCACAAAUCCGUCAAGAAACUGGUGCAAAGGUUAGAGUUGAGGAAACUGUCCCUGGAUGUGAUGAGAGGGUAGUUGUUAUUAUGGGUUCUGAUAAGGAGAUGGAAGUCAAUGCUGAACCAAAUGAGAAGAAUGGUGAUAAAGAGGCUAAUGUAGCUGAAGAGGGUGAUGAUAAAAAGGAUGGUGGUGAAAAUGAUGAAAGUGAAGAAACUGUUCCUGCAGUUGACUCGUCAAAGUCUGUAAAGGAAACCUCAUCCCUGCAGAAAGCUUUGGUACUUGUCUUUGAAAGAAUAGUUGAAGCAGAGCCAGAGAUAGAUGGAAGGGAUGAGGAAAACAACAAGCCUUCUAUGUUCAUUUUGAGGUUGCUUGUGCUUUCCAGUCAAGUUGGCUGCCUUUUGGGAAAGGGUGGCAGUGUAAUCAAGCAAAUGUCAGCAGAAAGUGGGGCACAGAUUCGAAUUCUUCCUAGAGAUAAACUUCCUACAUGUGCAUCACCUUCUGAUGAACUAGUUCAGAUCACAGGAGAGGUUGGAGCAGUUAGGAAAGCUCUUCAAUCUGUUGCUCAACAGCUUUUCGAGAAUCCGCCCAGGGAACAUGACUCUUUCCCUGCCAGUUCUACAUGGCCUUCAUCUCAUUCAUUUGGCCAUCCUCCUCCUAGGUCAGAAGCAUAUCCCCCACCAUACCAUUCUUUUAAUACUCGGGGAACAACUUAUGGUGCUGGACCUCGGGAUUUUCAUGAAAGUGGUAUUCCUGGUCGAAUGAAGCCUGCUCCAGAUAUAAUAACCUUUCGCUUAUUGUGUCUUGAUGAGAAGGUAGGAGGUGUCAUUGGAAAAGGAGGAAACAUUAUAAAAACCCUUCAGCAAGAAACAGGCUGUGACAUCAAAGUUUUGGAAGGGGUUUCUGAUUCAGAGGACCGCAUUAUUCUCAUAUCUGGUCCAGCGCACCCAGAGGAUAGGGUAUCAGCUGCACAAGAUGCAGUUCUUCGUGUGCAAACCAGGAUUGCAAGGGCUUUACCUUUACCUGAGGGUAAAGAUAAGCCUGUGAUUGCAAGGAUUCUUGUCUCAUCUAAUCAAAUUGGUUGUCUCCUUGGCAAGGGUGGUGCCAUCAUGGCAGAAAUGAGGAAAUCAACUGGUGCAUACAUUCGGAUAUUGGGGAAAGAUCAAAUUCCAAAAUGUGCUUCAGAAAAUGAUGAAGUGGUUCAGAUUAAUGGGGAAUAUGAAGUAGUUCAAGAAGCUCUUGUGCAGAUAACGACCAGGUUGCGCAAUCAUUUCUUUCGUGAUGUAUUUCCUACAAUAGACCAUCCUUCCAAUUCUACCUUUCUGGAUCAAGUGCCUCCAUUUCCUCCAUAUAUGGGGAGAAGGGAACUCUCACCUUCCUUCCAUGGAUUUCACAACUUUGAUGGCAUGGGUGGUCCGCCUCCACAUACUGGUUUCCAUCCACAUGAUGAUCCUUUUAUGCACAAUAUACAUAGAUCAGGCAUGCCUCUGCAUAUAUCUGAAAGAAAACCUUGGGGUCCUCAGGGACUUAUGGAAGGCGGUGCCCCAAUGGGUUUGCCAGACUUUGGAGGACCUGCUCAAAGAAGAAUAUCAGGUUUUGGAGGGGUAAACCAUCCAGCUGUUAUUACAAGCACUACUGUUGAAGUAGUUGUUCCCCGUUCUGUGGUCCCUGCAAUAUAUGGAGAAGACGGUACGUGCUUAAAACAAAUUCGCCAGAUUUCAGAUGCAAAAAUUACAAUUACUGAGCCCAAGCCUGGAGCAGCAGAAACUGUGGUUAUAAUAUCAGGGACGCCUGAACAGACCCAUGCAGCUCAGAGUCUUAUUCAAGCAUUUGUGAUGAGUGAAAGAGAGUCCGCUUCAUCUUUAUAAUAAGAAGUUCAUGGAAGGAUCUAAAUUAGUAACUGUUGAAAUUUGAUAUCUUACUGAAGAUUCUGAAGAUUGGAGCUUGCCACGAAUAUAUUUUGGCUGUUUUUAAUAUUUGGAAUUACCUUUGUUCUUCCCAGUUUUGUCUUCAACAAUCAUGAUACUGUCCUUUGAUGAAUAUAUUUUAUUGGCUGACUACAGUUUAAGCGUGAAUGCUAAAAUGGCUGACAUGAUUGACUAGGUUUUGACAUGAUACUUUGAUUCCAGAUGCUGUUGCUUGCCAACUGAAAUUUUUCUUGUUUUUGAGACAUGUUCCUGUGCUGACUGAAUCAACGUUGCUAGGUUAAGGCCUUUCUACUGCUUAACACUUUUGUUUGCAGUUAAGCAUUCACAUAAUGUUCUGUUGGUUGUAUUAACUCUUGCCCCAUUUUUAUCAGAGUCUGAGUAAUUUUGAUGGAGAAAAUGAAGAAAGCAUUGCUUCUCCAGUUUUAAUUGAUAGAUGAGUACAAGUGAUUUGUUACUGUAGGAAUAAAAAUACAGACUUAUCUGCUA